UCUGCCAUCGUAUAAUAUCAGACGAAUCCUGAUUCGUCUGAUUUGCCACUUGACGCGCCCCAGUUGUAGCCUAGUUGUUAGGGAUUCGAAACGUGUUCAGUGAGGAGCUAAUAAAUGUUCAGUGCGUAUCUGCGUUCCGUUUUAAACAUUCUUUUGGCUACUCGUUAAUGCACUGACAUUUGCCAUUUUUCGUACCAAUCUGAGGGACACUCUCUUUCACUCUUUUUGUAAAACAAAUCGUAAAUUGCUUCCCAGGCAGACACCCAAAGCCUCAAAGCCAUGGGUGAUAGAUGAUAUUCUCAGCGGCCAUAACUGUGUUGUAAAUUGGUAUCACUUUUACAAAGCCAAACUGAUUUAGAUCACGUGUCUACUGUGAAGAAGAUCAUGUGUCUCAACAAAAAUGGCCCUCUCUGUUUGCGAGACAUCAGACAUCCCCAGUGUGUCAUUUUGAUGCAGAGCUCUUGAAAUCAAGUUGAACAUUUUAAAACAUCUCAGGUCAAAGCUGAAGUUCUAGAGGUAUUAGAAAAGUCGUCGCUUUUUUGUUAGUUUCUUAGCCGUCCGAUGCAUCCAUUGGAAUGAUGUUCAUUUCCUCGACAUCAUUGCUCACGUAAUUUAAUAACUUUGUACUUCGAAAAAAGUUGUACUAAUCUUCAAUUUUUAAAAGAAAACUUUGAUGCAUUAUUCUUAUCUCGAGGUUAUAUCGACCUUCAAAGGGAAAUCGGAAGAGGGUAUUCUUCUCCUUGACACAAAGAAAGGAAAUUUAAGCAUUAGCAAGUCAUCCGCAUCCAAACAGAUCUAACGCACGAGGUAUUCCGCCUCGUCCAGCAACGCAUCCAUCAAAAGAAUGUAUUAAAGAGGAAAAUAAUUGACCAAGUGCCGACUCGACGAUUUCCAUGCAAGAUGAAUGUUAUAAAUCCAAGGAGAUCUGGUGAGCAGGAUGCAACGGACUAUGUCAUGUCAGACCAUUAGCUGAAUACAAUUAAUACCAUCAGUUCCCCAGAACGAGAGGUUAAUAAUCAUACUGAAUCAAAAGAGCAAUCAAGUUAAAAGAGAUUUUAAAAUGAUAACUAAAACCAAGUAGAAACGGAGUGCCCAUUGUUUAGAGGCUUAGAGACUCGGCAAAUGGUAUUACUGACCCAUUGUGACAGCGUAGACAAGGUUGCAGAAGGGUUGCGUUGCGUCGCAAAAUGUUCGCUUCGUAUUAUUUCCGCUAUUGCUGAUACUGAACGCCGUCUUUAUGGAGUCUAGUUCCAGGAUUUGAUUGAAAACGGACGAAAAAUUGUGCAUAACUUCUUGUUCAACAUCUGUGGAUUGCAAGGAGGUUUCACAUUGAAGAAACGCGAGCAGCAGUGUAUCAGCUACAUCCGGCGUAAGGUAGGACGAGAUAAGUUCGUGCUCAUGUUGGUAAGCGGCGGAGUUAAUUCCGCCAUUUGUGCUGCCCUUCUUCAUCAAGCACUUCUACAGGGUGACGACUCGUCCGGAGUGCAGGACAUACAUAUCGAUAACGGUUUCCUGCGUAAAGACGAAUCUGAGCAGGUCGUCACUAGUUUACAGCAACUCGGGCUCAAUCUUCGGGUGAUUAGAGACACUUUUCUGGACCGUUCAGAAUCUUAUAAUUGGCCAAAAUUUGAUACGAGAUUAAUUGAUACGUCGUCUUGUCACAUCUCAAAUUCUACGGUUUACAAUACUUGUUCUAGUUCCUUUAGGGACAGUGGCUUCUCAUUUCUUCUUCAUACCAGCGAUCAGAUUUGAUGUUUCGAAUCGUUUUGGGUUGCUAAAUCAAGUUUGACUUUAUACGAUGCUUCCACCAACGACGCCAAACUUUGUCGAUGUGUCGGGCUGUUAAUCCCGAAGAAAACGUCGAAUUGUUGGCGAUACGUUUGUCAAAGUGGCAGAUGGAACUGCUAACGGUUUAAAUCUCAUUUGGGAUAAUCUACUUCUCGGACAAGGUACUUUGAUGCCGGAUUUAAUUGAGUCCGCUUCGUAUAUGGCUUCUUCGCUAUCUGAUGCCAUAAAGACUCAUCAUAAUGAUUCCUAAAUGGUUCGUCAAUUGCGCCUUCACGGUCGUGUUGUAGAACCUAUUAAAGGAACAUGCCUUGAUCAAUCCGAUUGAAAUUGCGAGGUCGGCAGAAGAGCGUCUUCUUCUGGAAGAACUGUCCAGUCACAACCAGUAUGUUGCCACGCUACUGCCCAGUCGCACUGAGGAAAAACUAGAUGACGUUGACGACGUUGAUGUGCGUCUAUGAUAAUAAUUUUACAAGUGACAAGUUAAAUUGGUGAUAGUUGCGUUUCUAUCCUGUUUAGUGUUUCAAAGGAUUUUUCAUCAAAUAAUAACGUGCCAACCUGAGAGACACUUCUUUUCACGAUUAUUUGCAUGGUACACUCGAUUGUUGUUUGAAGGUGGAUUGUCACCAAACAUCCUUUGAAUGGUACGCCCUCAUCAGCAGCCUUACAAUGUGCUUCAUAAAUACAUCAACCCCUGAGAUCGUUGGAAAUUGUGUUUUUGUUCUCCACCUUUAUUAUCCACAUGCAAUUUUCACACUACUUUAUUACAUUCAUGGUAAUUCAUGGAAAACCAGGUGUGAUAUUAUAUCAUCCUGGAAAAAGGAUUCUGGAAAUUGAUGAUUUCUAAUAUACAACUGAUUUUUAGAAUGAGCUUCCAAUUUGAAGUUGUGAGUGAUUUAUCGGAUUAUGGAUUCCUACUUUGAAAACCAAAUUAUUUCCUUCUACAAAUGAAUUUGGAAGUAUCGUAUAUGUGGUAUUAUGUACUCAAUGAUGUGUGUACCAUUGUGUGCUGCAUAAUGUUAUUACUUUAUGGAAUCAGCUCAUUCAAUUGUAACCUAUUUUUGUAUUCAAAAUAUAGAUCUUCGCGGAGCCUUUAAUGCUUAAUUUACGUUAUACUAAAAAAUUCCCAUGGAAGGAAGUUCUUUCAGGAUCUGUUAUCGACCGUCUAUGUUAUGCAGUAAUUGGAUCUGCAGUUUAGUUAGAAACUUUAACUUAGAAAUGUGCUCAGCAUAGAUUUUAUAUGAAAAAUGAUAUUUGAUUGGAAAAAGUUCCUGGUUGAGACAAGA